rnacentral:rRNA from 1 species
UACGAGGGGGGCAAGCGUUGUUCGGAAUUACUGGGCGUAAAGCGCAUGUAGGCGGCAACGCAAGUCGGACGUGAAAUCCCACGGCUCAACCGUGGAAGUGCACUCGAAACUGCGUAGCUAGAGUCCUGGAGAGGAAGGUGGAAUGCUUGGUGUAGAGGUGAAAUUCGUAGAUAUCAAGCGGAACACCGGUGGCGAAGGCGGCCUUCUGGACAGUGACUGACGCUGAGAUGCGAAAGCGUGGGGAGCAAACAGG